CACACACACACACACACCCAUAUAUACACAGGCACACAAAGACACACUCACACAUGCACACACACACACAUCUAAGCAUUGAUCCCUUUCCUUGAAUUUAGGCCCCUCUCAAUUACCCAUCAUUACCCACGGCCAUCAUUGCCCCUCACACCACGGAGGCUCUUCCCAGAGAGGGAAGCAGACUUCAGAGAAGCCCAGCUGGGACUGAGCUCCCCCACCACCACCACCACAACACACACAUACACUCACACCAGAGGCAGGUGGAGGGCUCUGAAUACCAGGCCUUGUGCUCUUCUUUCUCCCUCUCCCUCUGUCUCCCUUCUUCUUCUCCCCCCCCUCUCUCAUUCUCCCAGGGCCCCCCCCCUCUCUCUCCCUGUAAAAGCCACACAUAAUCAGGGGCUUUCUCUCUGCUCUCGGCUAAGAAAACAGGCUGAAUAAAAAUAAGCUGCAUCAUGGUGGCCGUAUACACGCAAUAAACCACAUGUGAAGCCUUCGCGCUGUUAGAUAACCAUUUUAAAGCAGUCCCAGACUGUGGGCUGGCCGUUGGAAUUUGACUGUGCUGGGCUACCACUUCUCUAAACCUGGGAGAGAGAGACACACACACACACAUGGAGGAGAACGUUGGUUUAACAUUCAGGCCCGAGUCCUGAAAGCCAAUUUAUCGUUAAAGGUGCAGUUCAUGAUAGUAGCAUUUCUGUCAAAUUCAGUGAAUUGUUUUUCAGAGUCCUCCAGCUAUCCUCUCUGAGUGUGUGCUCACGCACAGCCCUGGCUCUGUAAAUGGGAAACAAGCAAAGUGGUUCGCACUGAGCCAUGAACAAUCCCAGCCAAUCAACACAUUGCUUCAGGAGCACUGAAGAGAGGGCCUAUUUAAUUUUCAUCAGAAUUGUGAACUGCGCCAUUAAUCACGCCAGCUCUCCAUCCAUGUUGGAUGGGGUUCUUAUUCGUUUCACACUUAGCUGUGAUAAACUUUUUUUUUAGACGAUAAAUCACAAGUCACCCUACAAUGGCACCCCACUGUGCUUAAAAUCCACUGCUGGUCAGUGUGGAUCUCUCUCUCUCUCUCUCACACAUACAAAUCAUGUUCACACCUUGUAAGAGGAAUGAAGGGAAGUCCCCACUAGAGCCUUGUAUUCUUACCUAUUUCUCUGCAAACCCAGGAACAUACAACCCUCCAGAGGCAUCCUGUCCAGCUUGUCCCACUAUUCCCUAAAACGAAGCCGCUCUGCCUCACACACACAGCAUACCAUCCGUGGAAACACAGGACUAUACCCAAGGCAAGGUGGUGGUUUACCUGUCUGUUGAUAUCGACAUAAUUACACUCAUACGAUUACAGAUCAAUGGAAUUGCUUGUAGUAGCACACACACACACACAGGCACAGACUGACCGAUACCAACUCACACAUACACACAGUUUUUCCCUCCUUGUUUUCACUGUACCAAAACUACUUGAAUAAUGAACAUGAAAGAGACCAUUGAACACAGCUUGUUGUGUGUGUGUGUGUGUGUGUGUGUGACUGUAACGACACAGUCCUCCACUCUCAGUCAUUGGCCUAUAACUCAGCUUGCCCUACCUGUGAGAGGAACCCAUAGAGUUUGUUUCUGGUGUUGCUUAUUGUUUUUAUAUGUGUUUUUUUGAUUGAAUAUUAUUUUACAAAAAUAUUUCUGUUCUGUGUUCAGGUCAUUUGUAAUUAUGAUUUCUGCAUCCAUUAUAUUAUUAUAUUAAUAUUAUUGUAUUUCAGUCUUUUAUAAAAUGUGUUCUAGUUUAUCUCUUUCUUUGCUUUGUAUUUUGUCCUGCUUCGCCCAGACUGUUGGGGUGCAUUAUUCACUUCAUGCUACAGUAUGUUUUUCUUGCAUUAGAGGGGAGAGUGGUAGAGAGCCCCCCCCCCCAACAAUAUCCCCUUCACUGUGUGGCUGCACAGGAUGCAGGUCUUAGAACGGCCUUUCCUCGAAAUGCGCCGCCAUGGUGAUGGUGAAUUAACAGCAAAGUGAGGAAGUGGGAAGUUGGGGAGUAUUGGGGUGGGGUGGUGGAGGGGUUGAACUUGAAAAACAAAGGGAAAUUUCUUGGAGAGCACCCCCGAUAGUGACAAUGUUUAUUUGCUUCAUUUUUUAAAAUGUUGCAUUUCCAUAGAGACCACAGCAUUGUGAGUAGAUGGAGUAAGCACUUAUUAUAAUUAUCAUUAUUUUAUGUUUUGCUCCCACUGGUAGAGGUCUUAGUAAGAAGCUUGUUGAGUGUUUUUUUUUUGUUUUUUUUUGCCACACACAUACCUCUGGAAAGAAAGAAAACAUGAACAGGUAUACGAGAUGCUAAGAAACCUUAGAAAGGGUGCCCAAAUGCAGAUAUGAAUGGGUUAAUUGUGACGAAUGACUACAUUGUGUUACUGUGGUAAAAAUCAGUCUGGUAAUGGGUAUAAGCCAUAAGGCCUCCAUUCAAAUCUAGCCAGUCUCUCAAUACAAACAUAAAUGCCCUAACAGUUUCUAAUUCAUCUUAUUAGUUUAUCAGUUUUACAUUUCUGUCAUGUUAUUCAGUAAUGACAGUCAUUAUGAUCAAUUUGGUCUGGAAUGAUAAAUCAGGAACUUGAUCCCAACUGGUUUAAUCAUACAAGCCAACGGCAUUGAUUCCAGAGUAAAUUGGAAUAAUAUAGACAAGUAAAAUAUACCAUGGUAGAUUGCUUUGAACAAAACAUGUACAGUUUUCUAUGAGUGAUAUGUGUUUUUAAGUGUAUGUACAGAAUUGAAACACAUUGCUUAUGUGUAUUAGAUACGCAGGCAUAUUUUAAGUUUAAAUCUAUUUUUUUCUGCUUCUUGUGUGAUCUUGAUGUACUUAUGAUUCAUUUUGGUUCUAUUAGUUUUUAUUUUCUGUUUUACUUUGUUAUUGUUCUACAGUGCAGAACAAAUUUCAAUUGGGUUAGCAAUUUCUAAAACAAACAUGAUCGUCAUUAUAAGUGAAUGCCCAACCAUUCCAAAGGAUUGCAAUUGCUAUAAAUAUGCUGCUUGUAUCAAACCAAUGCAUCAAAGCUUCAUUUCUUGAUGUCAUGUAUUUAUUUCUUCCAUGUACUCUUUUUAACUGUGAUAUCUACUACAACACAUUGUGAGCAGUACAUUGGGUACUAUUUUCUGUUUCCUUUCACAUACAUUUUUUUCAUUCAACCUCUUUCUUUUUUCCUUCCUUUGUUGGCUUAAACAUACAGUUUCUAGUAUAGGCCUAUUUUCUUUUAGCUCUUAUCAGGCUGGUCCCUCAAUCAAAAUGGAUACUAGCCAUGUAAUGUUUCUGUAGACAGAAUCCCUGCUUACUUGGAAAAGGGAAUAUGAGUGACUUUCUUCCUGAUGACGUUCCAGUAGAUGUGCUUCAUUUGCAGCCAUUCAGCCGGUCUUCCCAAGCGAAGCUACGGAAAAGUCUAAAAUGGAUGUAUGUUUGAGAGGCGGAUGUGUGCACGGUUGAAACAGGGUGAAAGCUACGGAAGCACCGAAAAUUGAGUUUGGAAUUGUAGUCAGCACACAGUUACCAAGGGAGUGAUGGUGCCAAGACGUGCAACCCGAGGUGCCGAACUCACCGGCCUCUUUGGUUGAUGAAAAACGUCAUAGCCGGUUGACAGCAACUCGACUCAAGUUUUCGCUGUGUUCUUUGCGUCAGGAGAUACCAAAGGCUUCAGGAUUGGAUGAAUGUUCAUGUACAGUGCAUAACACUGGGUGGAAUACAAACACAAGCAGGACAUUUUACAGUCUCAAGAAAAGCACACUGACAGUUGCAUUUUAUACAUUUACAAAAUGUGAAAACAAACGAUUUUUCCCACCUCCUCAGUGAUUUGGCACGAUCAUUGGCAUUUAACAUAAAUGGACAAAGAAACUUUAUGACCAUGCAUGUCAGUGGGAACAAGGGAGACAUGCAGCACUGUACAAACAUAAUGGCAGCCAAUACAUAUAAUGAAAGAGCGUCUCAUUUCAUGUGCGAUAGUCCCCAGGAAUACAUAUCCUCAUGAAUAUUUGCGCGAGGCACGCCGUUUUUCCGGGCCGACAGAGAGUCAGCUGUGGUGUUCUCGUCACAGCCGGUGAACCCGCUGUGCGGCGUUGGCCCACACCACAGCCAGCACAUCCAUGAAUGGCUCUUUUUGAGUCGGGGCGGUCCGAAACGGGCCACAGCACCGCACCGUGUGUUUUUGAAGCGGUGUGGCGGUCUCUCCAAAGAGCCGGGAGAGCGCUUUGAAAUCGCUGUUGUGUGACAGACUGUGCAUGUAAAGAUGGAAGUCCCACUGCCUCUAUCUAUUAGCCCAUGACAAAUGACAAGCCUCUUUAAUAAAUGAUGUCGACUUUGUGCCAUCUUGGCAUAUGAACAUGUUUAUAGAUAUAUAAUGUUCGUAUGACAAACAGGCUUGGACCUGGCUGAUUUUGGUGAAUGCCUCAUGUGAAAGGAGAUAGUUGUCUGCUCUCUCCCCCUCUCUCUCUGUGGGUUUCCCAGAGCUCAUAAGAGUCUUUGGCUCUCGGCUCCGAUGGAAAAGACUACAGUGCAUCCGCCAGGUUUCCAUCUGUGCCUGAACUCUGUCAAAUCAGAGUCAGGCACACAAACACUCCUUCACACACACACCAAUGUCAUCAGGUCAUGACCCUGCUGGCCCCAGAUUACCCCUGGUGUCACACACACACACACACACACACACACACACACACACACACACACAGAGGCCUGGGGUGGAGGAGUAACCUUUAAGGCGGUCAAAGUAAUGUCUGUUAAUCCGUGGCAUCUGAACACACCUUGGUUUGCCACAAGAGUACAGACAGGUCUUCACACAGAUGAGUAUGUGUUUGUGUGUGUGUAGUCCUGCAUUAGCACUUAGACUUAGGCUCAGGGUCUGUACCAGGGCCUCCAUCCUACUCUUUCUCCUUCGCUCAGUCUCUCUUUCUCUCUCUCUCUCUCUCUCUCUCUCUCUUUUUCCCUCCCUAAAGCAUUGCAGGGACGGCCCUUGCAUGCUUGUCCCUGUUGUUAUUGUGGUCACUGUGUGUUUUUCUUUUUCAAACAGAUCACAGACACAAACCGCUCCGUACACGAACCUCGCAUUUUAAGGAGUUGAUGGCUCCCAUCUGGGCUCCCAUCUGUCUAACUUGAGCCAUAUUCGUUGGUGGCACUGUUCCCCUCAUUCCCCCCCAAAAACCUCUACUGCUCCAGCCUAUCAGCUACUCAUUUCAACAUUUCCGCACCGCUCCAGUAAUGCACAUCAUUUAGCAGUGUUUUUUUUUUCCUUCCCACUCUCCUGUGUUAUGAUAUGGACUGUAAUGUUGUAGAGAGUUUUUUUUUUUUUUUUUUUAAAGCGAAGCUCGUUAAAAAAAAAAAAAAAAAAAGCAGGCCCCUGGCCUCUGGCUGUGUCCCCUAGACCGCUUCCUCUUUCGUGACCUUUCACCUGCCUUCCUUGAUGAUGUAUGUAGUCUCUGUUUUGUACAUCACCAUGCGAUGCCUGUCCCAGUGACUUCAUGGUGCUGUUCUUCUCGUCUAAGCACCGCUGUUACGCGCUUUGUACAAUAACAAACUCUUACUCAACUAUGGCCAGUUCAUCUCUUUUCAUGACCUCAUCCAAAAACAAACAAAUAAGUAAAUAAAAAAAAACUGCCGUGUAUCAUAAUGUUAUUUUUUUGCAAUCAAACCAAAUCACUACAGUGAAGUAUUACAAUUGUACAGUUCCAUGACUUAUUCAGAUAUUAAUGUGCUGGUCAAUGGUUGCUCUGCUGUAUCUUUUUAUGACAUUAUUUUUUACAUGUUAGACAAUAUAUUGUGACCAUGUCCUAUGCAAAUAUGAAAAAUUAACAAAAUUGUUAAAUAAUGUAUGUUGUCUUAACUUGUAUGCAUGAAUAGUGAAGUUUACAUUUGAAAAUAAAUUCAUAAAUAAGCAACAUUA